rnacentral:rRNA from 11 species
GAAUGCUGACAUGAGUAACGACAAUGGGUGUGAAAAACACCCACGCCGAAAGACCAAGGUUUCCUGCGCAACGUUAAUCGACGCAGGGUUAGUCGGUCCCUAAGGCGAGGCUGAAAAGCGUAGUCGAUGGACAAUGGGUUAAUAUUCCUAUACCAUUUUUUGUUGGCAACGAGGGACGAAGAUAGCUAAGCUAGCCAAAUGUUGGUUAUUGGUUCAAGUGUUCAAGGUGUUGAGAAAUAGAGAAAAUAUUUUGAGCCAAGGCAUGAGUACAAAAUACUACGGUAUUAAAGUAGCCGAUGUUAGGCUUCCAAGAAAAGCUCGCACUGUCACAAACAAAAAAUGCCUGUACUAGAAACCGACACAGGUGGGUAGGUAGAGUAUACCAAGGGGCGCGAGAUAACCCUCUCUAAGGAACUCGGCAAAAUAACCCCGUAACUUCGGGAGAAGGGGUACCUUUUUAAGGUUGCAAUAACAAGGUCCAAGCGACUGUUUACCAAAAACACAUGUCUCUGCUAAGCCGCAAGGCGAUGUAUAGGGACUGACACCUGCCCGGUGCUGGAAGGUUAAGGAAGGGGGUUAGACUUCGGUCGAAGCUCUUAACUGAAGCCCCAGUAAACGGCGGCCGUAACUAUAACGGUCCUAAGGUAGCGA